GGAAUCUUCCACAAUGGACGAAAGUCUGAUGGAGCAACGCCGCGUGAGUGAAGAAGGGUUUCGGCUCGUAAAACUCUGUUGUUAAAGAAGAACAUAUCUGAGAGUAACUGUUCAGGUAUUGACGGUAUUUAACCAGAAAGCCACGGCUAACUACGUGCCAA
rnacentral:rRNA from 1 species